rnacentral:rRNA from 1 species
UACGAAGGGGGCUAGCGUUGCUCGGAAUCACUGGGCGUAAAGCGCACGUAGGCGGAUUGUUAAGUCAGGGGUGAAAUCCUGGAGCUCAACUCCAGAACUGCCUUUGAUACUGGCGAUCUCGAGUCCGGGAGAGGUGAGUGGAACUGCGAGUGUAGAGGUGAAAUUCGUAGAUAUUCGCAAGAACACCAGUGGCGAAGGCGGCUCCACUGGCCCGGUACUGACGCUGAGGUGCGAAAGCGUGGGGAGCAAACAGG